UGUAGCUCAGUGGGAAAGCACUUGCUUAGCAUGCACAAGGUCCUGGGUUCAAUCCCCAAAUAA
rnacentral:tRNA from 1 species